UACGUAGGGGGGCAAGCGUUGUCCGGAUUUAUUGGGCGUAAAGAGCGUGUAGGCGCCAGACAGGUCCGUUGUGAAAACUAGAGGCUUAACCUCUAGACGUCGAUGGAAACCGUCUGGCUAGAGUCCGGAAGAGGAGAAUGGAAUUCCUGGUGUAGCGGUGAAAUGCGCAGAUAUCAGGAAGAACACCCCGUGGCUAAGGCGGUUCUCUAGUACGGUACUGACGCUGAGACGCAAAAAGCGUGGGGAGCGAACAGG
rnacentral:rRNA from 1 species